AGGCAGAUAUGUAAGCAAGAAGUAUACAGUACAUACAUGAAUUUUUCUGUGUUCCUGACUGUGGUGUAAUGUGCCUACUUGUUUUUAGUUUUCUGAUACCAUAGACAUGACUAGGAACUGUGAGCUGAAAUAGGCCCUCUUCUUCUCUAAGUUUCUUUUUGUCAGGAUAUUUUUAUCAUAGCAACAGAAAUGAAACUAGGACACAGAGUUUGCAUAGAAAAGGGCGAAUUUCUGAGUGCUAUGCAAAAAAUAAACAAAACAAAAACAAACAAAAAAACAACCCCCCUAAAAAACAAAAAAACAAACAAACCCACAAAGUUCAGCUUCAGUAGUUGUAUAUGUUGAAACUGAAUUACCAUUGUUUUAUUUUCUGUACGCAAUGUAAUUCCUCUACUUACCACUAUAAAAUGCACAGAUACUUUUAAAUUUGUAAUUAUUCAACUAUUUUAUGGAUAGCUACAUGGAAAUAUAUAAACAUGCAUAUACACCUAUAUGUAAACAUACACACACACACACACACACAUAUACACAUACAACUGCAUUACAUAUGUUGUGGUUCCUGCAGAUGCUAGAAGAAAGCAUCACAUCUCUUGGACUGCAGUUUUUAGCUGUUGUGAGCUACAUGAGCUGGGUGCUAGAAAUCUCCAUUUUAUAAUUAUACUUUUUAUAAUUGAAGCAAUAUAUCCCCCUCUUCAGGAAACAGAUUUUAUCUUUAUCUCUGAUUCAAGUCUUGGAAUAAGAAGGCUCUUUCGGGAGGUAAGAAGUGAUGCUUCUGCCUGGCGUGCUAGCUCAUACCUUGAACACCAACACCUGGGAAGCAGAGGCAUGAGAAGGUCUGGAAGUUCCAUGCUAGUCUGGCCAACAACAGAGAGUUCCAGCCAGUGAGAUCUAUACAGUGAGAUUUGGUCUCAACAAAACAAAGCAAAACCUCCAAAACCAAACCAAAACAACACAACCCAACACCCAACACCCAGCAACAAAAACACAGAAAUAAUUGUUUCUAGUCUACCUUUGGACUCUGUCUCCUGAUAGAGUUUGAUUUUUAGUUGUAGCUAGCAGGGUGUUAGUGGAAAUUGUGUUUUGAGCAGACAUUGUGCAAAUGCUUCGACUUCCAGUACGCUAAAGUCUUAGGAGGAAGAAUCACUAUUCAAGGACAGGUUGGGCUACAGGUCAAACUCUACUACAAAA
rnacentral:lncRNA from 1 species